CCUGACUUUGCCUCUUGGAAAGCUCUAGGUUGCAGCCCACCGCUGCCUUCCAAGCAUUCUUUAAACUAGCAAUGUGGGAGGGACUCCAGGAGAGAGGGAGAGAGAGAUGGCUAUCAACUGAAUUCAUUACUGUAAACAUCUCCCUGGGGUGUCAGGCAGGGAAGGGGGAAGAGAGAGAGAGAAAAAAGCACGACUUACAUUAGCAGGGAAUAGUCAGAUCUGGGGCAGCAUAACGGCUAAGAUCAGCCUGCAAGCCCAGCUGAAAGCAAGCCCAAGACUAGGAGAGAGAAGGAGACCGACAGACACGCGACUAUUCACACAUAUGUGUCUGGUCCCUCCUGAGACUUACGGGGUCCUGGGUCUGUGUGGCUCCUCCUCAUGUGAUCCACUCAGCGUCGCCAGCGGAGAAAACGACCAGGCUUGAUCGGGUUCCUUCGGCUUCUCCUUCCUUCCCUCCCUUUCUUUAUUUAUUUGGGGGCAGCGGGAGAAGCGCGGAGAGAACGCGUGCUGGGGAUGCCAGCGCCCUGGACUGCGCGUUGGAGGAGGAGGUGGAGGAGAAAGGGGGAGGAUGAUGCCGCUGCCUCCUAAGGGAGGAAGGAGAGAGAAGGGGAACGGAGCGCUCCGGAGAGGAGGCGCAGGCAAGCGCCAGCCUGCGGGGAAGCAGAGCCUGCAGGGCGGGCUCGGGCUCGGGCAGCUUUUCCCCCGCACCACAUUGGAUACUGCCAAAGGCGACCGGCACGGCCACCACCAAGGAGAAGCGCCGUCAGCUGCAGCAAAAGUUUUGGUGUGGGGGGCAAAAGGCGCAGAGGGGGAUUAUGAUCGGUGCCGGAGAAGGACUCCCAGCCCUGCCAGGUUUCUCAGAUCCAUCAUCAAGCUGAAAUGAAGACCUUGGAAGCUGAAGAAAGCUGAGUGCACCACUACCUGGCUUCAGAGAAAGGAACUACUGGUCCAGCCAACCUUUCUCCGGACGACUUUUGGUAGCUUUAAAUUGCCAGUAGCCUACCUUGAAAGACACAGCUAUUGCUUCUUUCAGCACACAUGGAGGAAGGCAGCAAAGUGUGUAACCCUGGCUAAUCAGACUGUGGCUUUCCUAUGAAGAGUAGAAGGCAGACCAAUCAUAAAAGGAUUAUUUCACAGUUAGCCUCCAGGACUUUACCUCUGACCUGAUCACUGGACACAAAUUCAAGCCAAUUCCAACAACCUGAGUUUUCACUACCUGUUCUUUAUCAUUGUUUUAAUUUUUCUUUCUUUGGUAU
rnacentral:lncRNA from 1 species